rnacentral:siRNA from 1 species
CCUUUCCGGCGAGCUACACCAUGC